AACCUCGGGGCGCAGCAGUGGGGAAUAUUGCGCAAUGGGCGAAAGCCUGACGCAGCGACGCCGCGUGAGGGAUGAAGGUCUUCGGAUCGUAAACCUCUGUCAGCAGGGAAGAACGGUCACUGUGCUAAUCAGCAGUGAAUUGACGGUACCUGCAAAGGAAGCACCGGCUAACUCCGUGCCAGCAGACGCGGUAAUACGGAGGGUGCGAGCGUUAAUCGGAAUUACUGGGCGUAAAGCGCUCGGAGGCGAUAUGUCAAGUCAAGGGGGAAAUCCCCGCGGUCAAAGAGG
rnacentral:rRNA from 1 species